rnacentral:lncRNA from 1 species
CUCAAUAGAGAACAAACAAAUUGCUGGUGUACAACACCUUGUGAUCAGAUGCCAACUUGACUGUGUGAGACACUCGAUGCCCAGUGCUGUAUCCUUCUAUAGAUACUAUUUUGUCAAUAGUUACAAGCAGUACCGCAGAUAGAUUGUUCAGUGUGGUAUGUCGGUUGAAAACAUAUGUACGAUUAACCAUGAAUAACGAUAGGUCAUCAUUGCUAACAUUAAUGCAUAUUCAUCAGGAUUUCAGUAUGAAUAUGGACAAAGUAAUGGAGAGAUUUGUUUCUGCUAAGACUUGAAGAGCAGAUUUUGGACAAUUUGAGUAAGUU